AAUAAACCAAUUUUUUAUUUUUUACCUCUAAUUUUUGAUUCUUUGUCUUAUUUAAAUUUUUUUUGCGAUUGAUUUUUUUAUUAGAUGAUAAAUCAUGAAUUACUUUACGUGUGACUAAUUUUUUUCUAAUUUUUUGAAAAUUUUUCAAAUAAAACGGAUGAUCAAACGUUGGACACGCAAACCGGAGAAUUGAUU
rnacentral:pre_miRNA from 1 species